CCAGCUCCCUGAAGAUUUGCUUUCCCUGGGUUGGAGUGGAACAUCUCCUGCUAUAAAGUUAUAAAUUCUACCAAACACUUCAGGUGUGAAUCUUUCUGCACCCCCAGGCCUCCUCACCUCAUCUACAUCACUACCUGACUUUACUUACACCCUUGUGAAUGAGCACAAAUCUACACAAAAUCUAGUGGAAAAUCUUUCCAGUGGACUGAAUGUUAUUAGAACAGCAAAUGUCGAAUGUGAUGUUCCAAAAGCACAAACCAAUCUCAUGGUCAGGCGUCCACAAAUCUUUGUCCGUAACGUGUGUAGACACAAGAAGAAAAUAUUGUGCAUGUAAUGCAACUUUGUGUCUGUGUAAUCAGAGGUAAACAUAUGAGGUAAAUGUUUGACAGGUUUUGACGAACAAGGGCACGACAUCAUGCACACACACACACACACACACACAGAAACACAGUAUAGGGUACAGUAAUCAGUAAAUUACUGUGUGUAUUUGAUUUGUGUAAUAAUGCUGGCUCGGCAUUUUAUAAUCAACUUUUUUGUUUUCAUUUAUUUCACAGGAAAAUUAAAGUUACACAGGACACUGAGUCUGUACAGGGUUGAUGAUAUUGGAAUAGAUGACCACACACUUUAAUCUUUAGAACAACAAUAGUCAUAUGGAAACAUCUGCUAAUCCAGGCUGCCCCCUAAUCCUGCAUGCUGCCACCCACCACCCAAUUUACUGAUUCCAGCUUUGCAGAAGAUCUCAUACAACGUCUCAGUGUGAGAAUCACUGGCUGGAGUGCUGAGAUGGACCACGGAAACACAUCAGAGUUCAGCUUUCAAAAGAUCCAAGAAAUCAAGAAUUCCCCAAAAACUGCAUUUAUACCGAAAGUGACUAUAAAACCGCAAUAAAAGUGUGAAACGGCA